rnacentral:lncRNA from 1 species
UAAAUCUAAUCCCAAACGACUCCCCAACACUAUUUAUCGUCUUAUUCACCCCAAAAUCGUUCUCAACUCGCCUGAAACUCAGGCGAGUUCACUCGCACGGGCUCCAUCUUCACCACGUCACCAAAGAUUCUAACGGUUUCUGACAAUUUUUCCUCUCCCAUGUGCUGAAGUCGUUUGGAAUUUCUGAAGAAUGAAUUCCGAAAAUGGGAGCCGUGGAUUGAUUUUGGGAUCAAUCCUGUCCUUCCAUCUAUCAGGAUUCGUUCUAAAGGAGAUUUUCUUUCGGAUUUCUUGUGAAAAAGAGAAGAAACUUCGAGAGACAGGUAUAUAUACCAGGUCUGGUUUGAGGAGAAUUUUUUGGAGACAGAGGUCAUUUGGAAAAAAUUAGGGUUCUAAGAAAGUUUCUCGUCUUCUCUUUUGUUCAUCUGCAGUCUUUUCUUGUUUAAUUCCAGUCACAAUAGAAAAACAAAAAAAAAAUUGUUUCGUUUAGUUUGAUAUUAGCAUCUUUGUUCUCUUUAUCUUUAAAUUCAGAAAAUUUCACUUUUAUUAUGAGUUUGGAUUGAGUUCGAGAGAAGAGGCUUGUUCGAAGGUCACGAUUUGCGGUUCCGAGAUUAAUUUGCUAUUUUGUACGUAUCAAUUGCAGGUUUAUUUCUUUCCUCUACUACUAUUUUUUGGUGUGUAAAAUAUGAUGAAAGCUUAGAAAUAAAUGUUGAGUUUGAGGUUUAAUAGAAGCAUUUAUUUGUGAGUCUCAAAUGGUGUCGAUUCUGGAUUUUGAUCGAGCCCCGUUUCACUUUUGUGCUUAAAGCAUUUUCUAAGUUUGUAUUUGCUCAUUUUGAAUAUUUUCAAUUAAAUUUCAGCAUGAUUUUUAAUUCCAUAAUUCUCUUAGAGUACUCUUGGUAUCAUUUUCAGGCUUAAACUUGCUCAAACAUGCUUAUUUCAAGUUAGAGGUCAUUGUAUGAAGGUUCAAUGAUUGCUCGUCCUGUUUUCUCAUGAAAAUCUCUGUUUUUUGGUUAAAUUAGAGUUUUAAAAAAUGAAAUCGAAAAAUCAUCUUCUGAGUUCCUUGCUUGUUCUUAUAUGAACUAGCAUCGAGUCUUGUUUUCAAGUAUAAAUUAGUGUCAAGUUGUUCCUUACUUCACAUGUUCAGGAACAAGUUUUUGGUGAGUCCUUUUGUUGCUGAUGUUUGAAUUUGAAAUGAGUGUUGAAGUCAUCUGGGGUUUUUAAUUACCGGGACUCCUUUCUUGCUUCUUCUUUUCCUGUUCCGUUGUCGAUAAAGGUCCCUAGUCAACUUCUUUACUUCAUUUUCUUUUACACUUAUAUUUCUGCUUAUGUGAUGAUGGUUUUAAACAUGAUAUUGGCUCUUUGUGUUCUAUUUGAAUAUUCAAACCAUAUUCUUAGAGUCUCGUUAAUCUUAGUUUGGAAGUUGUUUGUUAAUCUAUGAAAGGCUCUACUCUACUGAUGGUCCAAUUCUAAACUUCAUCUGUAAUGUUAAUUCCUUAAUUUGUUUAUGUUGAUGCUCAAAUGAGUAUUUGUUUAGAUUGUUGGUUGCUUGUGCUCUUGCAUGGUUAUUAUUAAGAAAGAAAGAUGAGAGUGAGGUCUCUUUCAUGCAUCCUGAUGGAUCUAGCAUAGUUGAUGUAUUAUUUUAAUUUGAAAGAAAAUCCCUGCCAUGAGCUGUAGUCUAGGAUAGUGUUUUCUUAAAUUUUUAACAAACAUGUAUGUUAAAUUCGUGUGUGGUGCCUCUUGAGAUAGAGAUAGUCAAGCCUUAAACCAGCUCUUAUUUAAUACUAACCUAGCUGCAGUCUUCUAUUACAAGUUGGCUCAUAACCUAAAUAGCUAGUAGGGUCAAGGCAUUGAAAUUAAUUAAUUGAUAAUAAAUGGGCAUCGAGAUUGCUAGACAUUGUUAAAGAAUUGGUUUGGUUUAAAUUAAUCAUAAAAUAAUUUGACCGUAGGAGUAGUUGGAACUAAUUGGACCAAACAAUUUUAGAGAAAAGUGUAUUUGAGUCUUAGUUUUCUUUUGAAUUCUGAGCCUUACGAUACAAUGAUCUUAAAGUAGAAAAUAAUUCAAUGUAGAAUAUUUAGGCGUGCAUUUAAUUUAUUAUCGUGAUUAUGUACACGUUUACGUGACAUGAUUGCGACUUCUAAAAAUGAAUAUUCGUAGUUUGCUUUAGGCACGAAUUAAUCUAUCGUCAUGAUUGUGGACACGUUUGCGUGACAUGGUUACGAUUUUUAAAAAUAAAAUCGGAGUAUGUGUUUGCGCAACUUCGAAUAAAUAUUCUUAAUAAUAAUAAAGCGUUAUUAAUUGUGGACACGUUCGCGUGACAUGAUUUUUGACGCGCCAAACAAAUGGGUACAAGUACGCGUGACCUGUUUUAAGAUAAUUUCUUAAUUAAAAGAGGCAAACACACAUAGGUUCUAAAAUGAGUAAUUAGACAAUUCGUUUAAGCCAAGUAUGAUCAAAGCGACCAUGCUAGAACUACGGAACCCGAAAAUGUCCAACACCUUCUCCCAGGUUAACAAAAUUCCUUACCCAGAUUUCUGUGUUCGCAGACCAUAUAUAAGAGUCAACUUUCAUCGAUUCGGGAUUUUAAACCGGUGACUUGGGAUACCAUAAAUUAUCCCAAGUAGCGACUCUGAUUUUUAAAUAAAUAAUAUCGUUUCGAUUGUAACUUAAAUUGAAAAAAAUCCCUUAUACCCCUUUCGGGAUGGUAAAAGGAGGUGUGACAGCUUUGGCGACUCUGCUCGGGAUAAAAACCCAGAAUCUCUGGUUCAGGGUUCAAGAAUUCGAGCUUUUUAAUAUGAUUUUAUUUGGCUUUAUUUAUUGUUAAUAUUGCUGUAUUUUGUGAACCUUUUGUGCUAAUUGUUGUCUAUUUACCGCUUUAGUAUUAUUUAAAUUGUAUAUAUCUGUAUUCUUACGCCACCCCUCUGAGUCUUCAAAAAACGGUGCACACGUUCGCGUGGCCCGCUUUUUCUGUAGAAGUUUUACCAAAUAGAACGAGGCUUGGCCAACAACAAGGCCAGGUAGACUUUCGUGCUCCCGGUACGUUGCCCCCUCUUCGGCUUGCAUAGUCCGUUGGGGUAAGCCAGGUCAAGAACACAACCCCAAGUUUUAAACCUAGAAAAACACAAUCUCAUGCCGAAUCCCUAGUAGGAGCGUUUGUUUGCAUCACGUGCAUUUAACCUUGGGGACUUAACACAGGGGUUGGGUCCGUCUAGGACAGGUGUACCUAAAAUAACUGACCAUCCUGAUGCAUCCUAUGUGCUAUGUGGACAUUUAUUUGUUUUGGCUUGCAUGUUGACCGGUUAGGAAAAGUAAAUCAAGGGAAAAACCAAGAGUGAUGUAGGGAAAAAAUAAAGUCCGGUUCUGAAAAAUCCCCAGUAUUUGGAAAUGCCCUGAAACUCUGCCGAAAAUUUCAAAAAAAAGAGAAGAAGAAAAAGAGUAAAGGAAAAAGAGUCAUUUCAAAAUAAGUCAAUAAUGUGUCCCUUUCAACUAUGUCAAAACCGACUGAACUGCGCAGGUUUGAUUCCCACCGAAUGUGGGAUACAUAGGCAACCUACGUACGGUUCGGCCAUAUUUUUUUUUAAAAAAAAAAAGAGAAAAAAAAAGAGUAAACGGUCAAACAAAUGUAGUUUAGGGCUUUGGUCAAAAGAAUAAGCCGAUCCAGCUUUGGUUAUGUCUUAAGCCAUUUUUGCUGGGAUAGCCUUAGAGUAUCUUCAGUUGUCGAAGGACUAUUUUCGUAAAGAACAGAUAAGUCUGUCGGUAAAGUGUCAUUUUUUCCAUAAAUUACUUGUCCCUGGCCUCAAAAUUUAUUUGAAAUUGUGAAGAGGCCACGUUUGCAAAAACAACCAUUUUUUGCUAAAAGUAGUAUAGAGGGGAGAGGGUCAUGGUCCGUUGAUUUUUUCUUUUAGAAAUUGAAAAACUUGUUUUAUAAAAAGUCCACCAGAGUUAAACCUAACCUUAGCCUUCCACAGGUACAAACAAACACUGUCCAGAAUCCGUCAGAGUUGAUCAUAGAACAGGCUCAGCUGCAACUAUGUAUGUGGUGGAAUGAUCUAGAUGAAGAUGGUCGGGAUUGGGUGAAAGAGCAGUUUGGUGCCCUUAUAAACAUUCUGGAAAUCGAACCACG